rnacentral:rRNA from 1 species
ACGAACGCUGGCGGCGUGCUUCACACAUGCCAGUCGCACGGAAAGGCCCUGCUUUUGUGGGGUGCUCGAGUGGCGAACGGGUGAGUAACACGUGAGUAACCUGCCCUUGACUUUGGGAUAACUUCAGGAAACUGGGGCUAAUACCGGAUAGGAGCUCCUGCUGCAUGGUGGGGGUUGGAAAGUUUCGGCGGUUGGGGAUGGACUCGCGGCUUAUCAGCUUGUUGGUGGGGUAGUGGCUUACCAAGGCUUUGACGGGUAGCCGGCCUGAGGGGGUGACCGGCCACAUUGGGACUGAGAUACGGCCCAGACUCCUACGGGAGGCAGCAGUGGGGAAUAUUGCACAAUGGGCGGAAGCCUGAUGCAGCAACGCCGCGUGCGGGAUGACGGCCUUCGGGUUGUAAACCGCUUUCGCCUGUGACGAAGCGUGAGUGACGGUAAUGGGUAAAGAAGCACCGGCUAACUACGUG